UGGUGUGCAUAUGGAGAUCAGAGUCUGUUUUCUCCUUCCACUGUGGGAUCUGGGGAUCAGAUCAAGUAUUUAGGUUUGCAUGCCCUUACCCUGAGCCAUUUCGACAGCCUUCAGCUAAGACUUUUAAUAUGGGAUUGUUUGGAAAGAGAUUCCUUGCUCUGUUUAGAGCUCUAAGUGUCCCCAUUCCUAGUGGGCAGGGCUGCACGACCCCAUUGGAUAUACUGUGACUCUCAGGGCUCAACCCACUGGGUGGAGUUUCAAGGCCAGGUUGGGUUUAGGGCAGCAGUUCUCAACCCGGGGGUCAAAUGACCUUCUCAUAGGAGUCACUUAAGACCAUCUGAAAACAUAGCUUUUUACAUUACAAUUCAUAACAGUAGCAAAAUUACAGCUAAUGAUGUAGCAAUGAAAAUAAUUUUAUGGGGGGUCAGUGCAACAUGAGGAACUAUAUUAAGGAAUUGAAGCAUUAGGAAGGUUGAGAACCACUGAUUUAGGGUUUGUGCCUCCUGAAGGCCAAUCUGACCUCAGGUUUAGUUGAAUUAUAGACAUUUGAAGGAAUUGCAAGUAUCUCUGGUACUCUGUGAACUCACCUUGGGAUUUUCUGUUCUUGGGAUGUGCCAGGACUUAGGUGGCAAAGCAUAGCCAUUAGAAGUGCUUAAUUGUCAGAUGGAGCCCUAGGGGUGAAUGAUUGCUCAAAGCCUCAGGAUGACAGUGUGAUUUCUUCUGGCCCUUGUUCUCUACCCUGCCAUCCGUCCACAUCCUUCCUGGCUUGUUUCUCUGAACUCCACAUCUCUUGUUUUCUCUAGAAACAGAAGCCGAGCCUCUGGAAAGGGGACCUUUUCCUAGGACACUAGUCUGUUUGGGAGCUGCCAGGGGCAAGACUAUGGUAGCUACUUUCUCCAGACUUGGACAAAUCACCUGACAAAAGCACCCAAAGUAGAAGGGAGUUUUAUUCUGGCUCGUGGCUUGAGGGUACAGUUUAUCAUGGCCAUGGUGGAGAGAGCUUUAGGUGGGUGGUCACAAUCAGCAAGCAGAGAGAUGAAUGCUGGUGCUCCCCUCCUUUUUUUCUUUUUUCAGCCUAGGACUCCAGUCUGUGGAAUGGUGGUCUUACCACCUCAGUUUAACUUCUUUGGAAACAUCCAGAGAUACGUCCUCUAGUUGAUUGUAAAUUAUGCAAGUUGAAGAUUAAGAUUAACCAUCACUGGGGACACACAGUGUCUUCAGUGCAGCAGGUGUGUGUGUAUGAGGGGUUACCCUGGUGGCCCUUCAGGCCUCCACUCUGCCAGAAUCCAUGAGAGCAGGGCUCCAGGGUGUAAGCAAAUUCCAUUAGUCUUUUACCAGUUCUUUCAGCUUACCUGUUAGUAGGGCCAUCUCUGUUGAGAAGGCCCCAGACUUGCAGAAAAUCCACUUGCUAGACUGUUGCAGAAUGAGCCUUAGACCCUGGGCUUCUGACCUGUGCUGUGUAUUCAGUCCUUUCUGGAUGGCAUGGUGUUUCAGGGGGUUCCCUUGUGUUUGCUCAUCUCUGAGAUAUCUAUAAGGAGACCCAGGGGCCUGGUUCUGAGCAUCAGCCUUAGUUAGUAGAUUGACCAAGAACCGGAGCAGAUCCUAAAAGUGUUGCUUUACUACUGAUAGAAAGACACAAUGUCUGGAGCCUACAAGAGUUGCCUAAGCACUUACACAUGUGCUUAGAGCAAUUGUGCAAGGAGCCAAGGCUGUUGAAUCCUGGUGGCGCUUUUGACCUGCUUGAACUUUCUCCUCUUCCCAUCUAGCAGGAUUUAGAUGUUCACAUAUUUUUUUUGUUUGUUUGUUUUGUUUUGUUUUCUGAGACAGCGUUUCUCUGUGGCCUUGGAGGCUGUCCUGGAACUACUCUUGUAGACGAGGCUGGCAUCUAACUGACAGAGAUCCGCCUGCCUCUGCCUCCUGAGUGCUGGGAUUAAAGGCGUGCACCAAUGACGCCCGGCAAUGUUCGAACUUUUAAUGCAAAAAGUUUAUUUUGCUUGGGUCCAUUCCUUCACUGGUAUUAGAGCACACUUCUUUGGGAUUCCACUGUAUGCUGAAGACCACCUGAAACAUCCUGCCUUGUAGAUUGAGCAACUACUGUAUUCUUGAACCUUCUGUUGGAAGACAGCUAUUGUUGGACUCGCUGGGCCACAGCCUAUAUGGCACUCUAAUAAGUUUCCUUUAUACAUAUAUGUAUCCACUUGUUCAUUCUAUCAGUUCUCUUCCCAUACAGAACCAUGACUAAUGCAGAGGAGCUUGUGUUGUUGUUGGUGUGUGUGUGUCUGUGUGUGUGUCUGUGUGUGUGUCUGUGUGUCUGGGGUCUUUCUAAUUAGCUCAUCCUAGGGAAAGUAGCCCAGAGAUUCUCAUUUAAUAACCUAGGCCCUGGAAUUCCUUGAAUUCGCUGUGAGAGUCUUUAACCCAUUGUCGCAGUGGAACCUCUUAACUCCUAUAAUUAAAUCUUUACAGAGACUUUCAGAGAGGUCCUUCUGCUCUGCUUGGAUCAUAGACUCCAAGAAUUCACCUUCUUAACACCUGGCUGUGUAAGUCAUUUGCUUGAAGGUUGUGCAGCCUAAGACCUCCUCUGUGGAACCCUUUGUCGUUGGAUCUGUUCAUCUUCUGUUUGGGUGCUACUCACUCUUCUGUCCCCGUGGGUAGUGAGAUAAUGUGUAGUCAGGGGUAGAGAUAUCCAGGUGGGGUUCUCAAGUCUGUCACCAGCUAGGGGUGUGACCUCAGACAAAUGGUUCUACAUUUGUUCUGAAUCUGUGUGGGAAUUCUGGGGAGGAAGUGACAGGUGUGCCAUUUACUCCUGGAGUUGUUAUGUGCCUUCAGAGGCAGGUCCCUUCCCUUGUCUGGUCCUUUCACAGGCUCCUUGACCAUAAUUGGUCUCCAGAGUUUCUGCCUUGGGCAAUAUUCACUAAACCCAUGAUCUGACUUGUGGCUGUUAGGUUCCUGUCUUUCUGAGCUGAGUUAACUUCAGCUCUUUAAGAUGUCAGGAGAAGGAGUCCUUCUUAGUCAUUGUAAGAGAAAACAUUGUUGCAUGGCUGGAAUAGAAUAGAAUACAAUAGAAUGGAAUAGACUAGAAUAGAAUCUCCUACAUGUCUCGAGAGAGGGUGUGUGUGUGUGUGUGUGUGUGUGUGUGUGUGUGUGUGUGUGUAUGUGUGCUAGUGUGUGCCCAUAUGUGAGCAUGUGUGUGACAUGAAUGGGAGCCUGCCUGCAUCUUCACAGCUUUUUUAUACUUGCUUUGGCAGAGACAACAUCUUUCUAUCUUUGCAUUACUCCAGGGAAAAAAUGAAAACAGCACUUCAAGGCCAGUGUGGUGGUGCCGCUUUUAAUCCCAGCACUCUGGAGGCAGAGGCAAGAGGACUUCUGUCACUUCAAGGCUAGCCUGGUCUACAUAGCAAGUUCCAGGACAACUAGGAUUAUAUAUAGAGAGAACAUGUCUCAAACAAACAAAACACCGAUACCGAACACUGCAUGGGUUCGGUAUCAUCUAAGUAUAUGUGGAGUUAAGGCUGAUUUAGUGUGGGGAGAUAGUAACAGGAUACUGUGGGGAGGAAAACAGGGUUCUGAGGGCCACUGAAUGAUUGUUUCAAGACAUACUCCUUUCACCUGUCCACAUGGUACCAAAGGUGGGUUGACUGGUACAAGUGGUUAGGCAUAGGUGGACAUCUGAGGAGAAGAUCUAGAUGAUGUGAAGGAGGAGGCCAGGGAGUGGGGCCAGGCAAUGGUAGGCUGUGGUGGAAUCUUAGUUUCACCCCAGGUGUGAGGAAAGUGACUGGAGAGUUUUGAGGAGUGGAGUGACCUGAUCAUAGUCAUGUUCAGCAACUGACAGCUCUGCAUCUGAAUUCACCAGGAUAGAAGACACUAUAAAACUGUUCAUAAUGAACAGAAGACUGACUUCUCAUCAUUCCUUAAAUAAUGCAAUAUGACAGCUAUUUUCACAGUGCUUAUAUUCCAUUUGGUGUUCUAAGUAGUCUAGACCUGAGGGAGGAUAUGUGUAGGUUACUCUGGGGACUUUGAGGAUCUGAGAAUUUUGGUAUGCACAGGGGGUGUUAAGGCCAGUUCUUUGGCUACCAAUUGACAGUGGACUUUUAAAUGAUGGUUCCGUUUAUUGGAGUCCUAGGAACAGGUGGAUUAUGGAAUCAGAAGGAAAACUGGUCACGCACACCCUUAAGUUCUGAAGGUUAAAAUAAGCAGAGGGUGUCAGUUGGUGAAUGUGGGGCCUCUUUCCUCUUGUGGGUUUUCUCCUAAAUGUCCAGGCCCCUGGACACCACAAGGAGAUGGUAACCAUAAGGAGAUAGUAGGCAUGAGACUGGGGAGAGCUUUGAGGUCGGUGGUCAUGGUAUUUAAAGCUGUGUGAAUCCUGGGUUGCCACCCUCCCCCUCUUAGACUGUUAAGUUUACCAUCAUUUAGUGGGGUCUGUAAGGAAAGGAUAAAUGGGCAAGUGGGGGAAGACAGCCCCAAGCUGUGUGCGCGCUUCGUGUCUCUGAACCUGAAUGAAGGAGAAGGAGGAAUGACCAACAGUGACCUUACUUCUGAUGAGGUCAGAUGAGAAAAAGGCCUCCACUCUGCUGAAAGAGAAGAAAGUCACUGGUUACCUUAAGGAGUGGUAUGGUGGCCUGCUGGUUUGUUUUCUAUGCCAUUAUGAAACUGGUAGGAGAGAGGGGACCUAGCAUCCAGGAGAACAAAGACCUUAUCUACUAAGACGCCGCCGUGGCAUGGGAUGACUCAGGGAACUAGUCCUCAAGGUUCAGGAUGCUCACCCAGUGUCUGCUUUUGAGAAGAAGCACUGACCAGAUGAACCAAGAAUUGGGAGGAGCCCUUCCCUCUGCCAUGCCUUUUGGUCUUAGCUUUCUCUGGGUGCCAGUGUUAUGCUUUGUAAAAUGGAGAUGUUGGGGUUCUGGCCUGGCUUCAUCUGUGAACGCUGGCUGAACCAGUUGUGGUAAGCUGUGAGCCCUCACAGAGCCAUAACCAAAAUUAGGCCUGUGUACAUUUUGUGACAGUGAUCUGUGAUCCAGAGAACAUGGAAACCGCUCAGGGUUUUUAAUCUCAGGGCCUUUCCUUCCCGUUUCUGCCACACGGGUCUGGUGUUGAAAUUAAAAAAAAAAAAAAAAAAA